CUUGAUCAUAUUUGAGAGGUAUUUCUAGUAGGUAAGGGAGCGAGACUUUCGACCCUGUGAGCAUCGGAUUACAAACUUUCUGCAACUGGCGACCUGAGUUCGAGAUUCUCCGGGCUGGAUACGGGCGUCUACCUGUGAACCCAAACGGGGGACAUAGCUCCUGUUCCUUACCUGUUCUGUUGGAGGGCUUCCACAGCAGAGGGCCUGACCUUACCAGCCUGCCUGGGGUGUCACUGCGUGCCCUAAUCAAGCAGGAGGCUGGAUGGACGCCACCGCAACCUGGGGGCCCCAGACGUAAAGGGAAACAUCCAGGGCCCUGGAAAGUAAAGCUGACUAUGGACUAUGGAUGAACAUGAAUGGACGAUCAAACAUUCAAACUGUUGUCUUAAAGGUAAACAUCGCCACGCAAUCUUUGGUCAACUCAACUGUAAUUAUUUAAACCUAGAUCUAGUAUUUAGGUCCUUCGAGUGGAAUAAUG
ensembl:lncRNA